rnacentral:rRNA from 1 species
AGAGUUUGAUUAUGGCUCAGGAUAAUGCUGGCGGUGUGCCUUAAGCAUGCAAGUUGAACGGUUCUUUCGAGAACGAGUGGCAGACGGGUGAGUAAUGAAUAGGAACUUACCCUCAAGUGGGGGAUAGCUCAGCGAAAGUUGGGGUAAUACCGCAUGAUCGCAAGAUCAAAGUCUUCGGACGCUUGGGGAGGGGCCUAUUUCCUAUCAGGUUGUUGGUGAGGUAAUGGCUCACCAAGCCUAUGACGGGUAGCCGGUGUGAGAGCAUGGCCGGCCACAAGGUUACUGAGACACGGAACCUACACCUACGGGUGGCAGCAACUGGGAAUAUUGCGCAAUGGACGAAAGUCUGACGUAGCGACACCGCGUGUGGGAGCUUCGGUGACCACUGUGGCAGGGGAGAUCACCCUGCUAGAAAGCACCUGCAACUACGUGCCAGAAGCCUCGGUAAUACGUAGGGUGCAAGCAUUAUCCGGAUUUAUUGGGCGUAAAGCGUCCGUCGGCGUCUUAUCAAGUCUUUAGUUUAAAACCAAGGCUCAACUUUGGAAGGCUAAAGAUACUGGUAGGAUUGAGUAUAUUAGGGGGAGCUGGAAUUCUCGGUGGAGGGGUGAAAUCCGUAGAUAUCGAGAGGAACACCAUUCGCGAAGGCGGGCUCCUGGAAUUUACUGACGCUCAGGGACGAAAGCUUGGGUAGCAAAAGGGAUUAGAGACCCCUGUAGUCCAAGCCGUAAACGGUCCUUGCUAGCUGCUUGUUUCAUGAAAUGAGUGGCGUGCUAACGCGUUAAGCAAGGCGCCUGGGGAUUACGACCGCAAGGUUAAAACUCAAAGGAAUUGACGGGGGAGCGCACAACCGGUGGAGCAUGUGGUUUAAUUCGAUACAAAGCGAAAGACCUUACCUGGGUACAUGAACUACGCUCUGUGAAAGCAGAGCUUUCGGUGUUCAAGGUGUUGCAUGGCUGUCGUCAGCUCGUGUCGUGAGACGUCCACUUAAGUGUGGUAACGAGCGCAACCCUUAUCAUCAGUUACAAGUGUCUGAUGAGACUGCCCUGUUUUGCAGGGAGGAAGGAGAGGACGACGUCAAGUCAGCAUGACCCUUACAUCCAGGGCAACACACAUCCUACAAUGGAGCCGACAACGGGUAGCGACGGAGUAAUCCUGAGCAAUCCUUAAACGGCCCCUCAGUUCAGAUUGAGGGCUGCAAUUCGCCCUCAUGAAGUUGGAAUCGGUAGUAAUCGCAAAUCAGCAGGUUGCGGUGAAUACGUUCUCGCUCCUUGCACACACCCCCGUC